AGAUUUCCUGUGCAAUGAAUCUAUGGAAAAGAAGGUUUUGGUUCAUUGCUUGGUCCAUGCACACUUAGGAUGGCUUCAUCUUGUUGGUGGAUUGACCAUUUUAUCAUUAUAUGACUCUCUGGUGUCAUACAAUUGAUGACCAAAGGAUAGAGAUGCUCCAGGAAGCUCUGGCUCUCAGGACAGUUGGAUGGAGUUUGAAUCCCAGCUCUGGUGCCUAUUAGUGGGG